AUGAUAAAAGAGCGCUGCAAAUCAAAAAUGGACAUGACAGAACCGAUCAGUUACACAGUAAGAGACAAUUCAGGAAUGAAAAUUGGUACUUAUUCUUAUAUUCCAAUCACACAGGUAUUACAAAAAUAUUGCCAGGUGGAGGAUGUGUGGGAACAGAUUGUUUGGGAUAACCACAGAAAUCAGGAUGAUGACAUUCUGACAGAUUACAGUCAUGGGGUGUACUUUAAAGAGCACUCAUUUUUCAAAGAUCACCCUCAAGCUCUAAGACUUUAUUUUUAUGAAGAUGAAUUUGAACUUGUGAACCCACUGGGGGCUAAAAGAAAUAAGUACAAAAUCUGUGCUUUUUAUUAUACAGUUGGGAACAUAAGUGGAAAAUAUCGCUCAAAGUUGGGUCACAUUCAUUUAGUCUUAAUGGUUCGCCAUUCACAUGUGAAAGAGUCUGGGCUUGAAACUAUACUACAGCCCUUGAUAGCUGACCUCAAAAUGCUCUCCACAGAGGGCCUCACGUUCAGUCUUGAUGAAGUAGAGCACACAAUUCAAGCUGCUCUAGCAACCAUUUCAUGUGACAACCACUCUGCUCAUAUGACUGGGUGCUUUUCUAUGUCUAUCAAUACUGGCCGGAUAUGUCGAUAUUGUAUGGCCUCACAUUCAGAGAUACAACAUGAGUUUUGUGAAGAGAGUUUUGUUCUUAGAACAACUGAGGUGCAUAAAUACCACCUAGACUAUAUAAAAAAUGACAAACAAAGUGCUGUUUUGUAUGGUGUCAAUGGUAAUUGUACAUUUGAUGCACUGCCUUACUUUGACGUGACAAAGUGUCUUCCCCCAGAUGUAAUGCAUGAUUUGCUGGAGGGAGUUCUGCCUCUGGUAAUGAAGUUGGUCAUCUGCAAAGCUCAUCAUCAAAAGCACAUAACCAUAAAUGAACUCAAUGAUGAGCUGAAAAAUGUAAACAUUGGGAAGAAUGACAAACGAAACAAACCAGUGCCAUUGACUGAAAAACAUUCUGGACAUUCUAAGAUAGUUGGAUCAGCCAGUCAAAAUUAA
rnacentral:lncRNA from 15 species